UAGCACCAUUUGAAAUCAGUGU
rnacentral:ncRNA from 19 species